AUGCUCCAUUACAUUGGGCUUGCCUGGUUCGCUUCUUCUUUUCACCUUUCUUUCUUUCUUUCUUUCUUUCUUUCUUUCUUUCUUUCUUUCUUUCUUUUGCCUUCCUUCAUUUCCUUCCUCCCCUCUCUUUCUCUUUCUUCCUUUCUCUCCCUCCCUCCCUUCCUUCCUUCCUUCCUUCCUUCCUUCCUUCCUUCCUUCCUUCUUUCUUCCUCCUCCCCACCAGAAGAUCAGAAACAAUGUUGUUUUCCCAUCAGUUCAGUAAUACAAUGCCCUCCGAUAUCCACACCAGCAUCUCAGUGGAGAAGAAGAGAGUGUUGGCUACCUGGGAACGGAAGACUUCAUAGUGAAUCUCACAUGGGACUGGCCUCAUCUUGGGGAGACUGGUGCUUCAAGAGGAGAUAUUUGCUAUUGCUGAGCAAUGAGACCCACAGUAGUUCUUGGGUGCAAAUGGAUUGGUAAGUGUUGUGUUUUUCCAGCAAAUUAACAUUUGUUUUCAAAACCAGACAGCUUCAGGGUUGACCUUGUUCCUCACGGCUCUUCCAGGACACAGGAAGCAUCACUUCUCAGCAACCAGAAACAAAACUCAAUGAUAGAUAACAUGCUUGUCUGUCCUAAUGUAUCUCUUUUAUAUGAAAGGGCAUUUAAAACGACUUCUUCAAGUGAGGGGAUUUAACACUCUUGGUUUCUCAAGCUCUCGACAGAGCCUUUGUCUUCAGAGGAGACUCACAGGAGCUCAGUCAACAUUCUUCAGUGUGGCUUCUUUUUUUUUGUGUAGUAUAGCAUAAUUUCACAUUGGUGUGCAUGCGUGCA
rnacentral:lncRNA from 1 species